rnacentral:rRNA from 1 species
GGUAAUUUAAUCUUAUAAUCAAAAUAAAUGGAUCAAAAAAAUAUAAAUAAAUAUACAAAAACAAAGAGGAGUUAAAUUUUAUCCUCCCAUCACCCCAACAAAACAGACAUCCCAUUUAAUGUAACAAAACAAACAAAAAAAUAAAUAAGAAACCUGUCAAACUCUAUAGGGUCUUCUCGUCCCAUAAAAACAUUUAAGAAUUUUAACUCAAAAACCAAAUUCAAUAACCAAUACCUCUAAGACAGCUUAUGCCUCGUCAAGCCAUUCAUACCAGAUCACAAUUAAAGAACUAAUGAUUAUGCUACCUUUGCACGGUCAAAAUACCGCGGCCCUUCAACUUACAAGUCAGUGGGCAGGCCAUACUUCAAAAACUAACAAGAAAAGAUGUUUUUGUUAAACAGGCGGACAUAAAACUUUGCCGAAUUCCUCAAAAGCAAUUAACACUUACCACCAAACAAAACAAUCAAUAAAAUUUACUAAUUACACAAUAAUUACUAUACAAACCAAAAGUAAAGAAAACAUUUCAAUAAAUAACUUAAAUAACAAAAAAUUAAAAAAAUAACAAAUAAAAUUUUAACAUAAUCAAAUAGAAAAUCACCAUAAAAUCCACAAAACUAAAUUAAAACAAUAACCAAUUAUAAAAGUAAAACAAGGAGCUAAUCCCCCUUAAUCUUAACAUCAAAUAAAAAUAAAUAAAUAAACAACAGAAAUUAAAAUAAGAUGUAUGAAUUAAA